rnacentral:rRNA from 1 species
UACGUAGGGUGCAAGCGUUAAUCGGAAUUACUGGGCGUAAAGCGUGCGCAGGCGGUCUUGCAAGACAGAUGUGAAAUCCCCGGGCUUAACCUGGGAAUGGCCAUGGAAACUGGCGAACUGGAGUGCGGCAGAGGGGGGUGGAAUUCCGCGUGUAGCAGUGAAAUGCGUAGAGAUGCGGAGGAACACCGAUGGCGAAGGCAGCCCCCUGGGCUAGCACUGACGCUCAGGCACGAAAGCGUGGGGAGCAAACAGG